CUGGUGAGCCUUGAGCUUGAGGCGUGCCUUUAAUAACUAUGACACAACCCAAGUCUCAACACCCCUCCACCCAGCCACCUAGUCUCACCUGAAACUCAAUAGAGUUUCAUUCCUCUUCAAAUAAUAGCUGCUUAUUUAUUUAAUUUUUGUUUAAAAAGUCUUAAUUCCAUAAUUUUAGAAAAAUCUCAUCAAGAAGGAAUGUUAGAAUUGAUGAAAGUUUUCUUAAUCAUAGAGAUAAGAUUCCUCCUUGAUUUAUGGGAUGAGAUUUCUCCUUAAUU
rnacentral:misc_RNA from 1 species